UACGUAGGGGGCAAGCGUUGUCCGGAUUUAUUGGGCGUAAAGCGUCCGCAGGCGGUCUAUUAAGUUUGGGGUGACAGUGCCCGGCUCAACUGGGCAAGUGCUUCGAAAACUGGUAGACUUGAGGGCUUCAGAGGAAAGCGGAACUCCGGGUGGAGUGGUGAAAUGCGUAGGUAUCCGGAAGAACACCGAUGGCGUAGGCAGCUUUCUGGGAAGCAUCUGACGCUCAGGGACGAAAGCUAGGGGAGCAAACGGG
rnacentral:rRNA from 1 species